rnacentral:rRNA from 1 species
AAAUUGAAGAGUUUGAUCAUGGCUCAGAUUGAACGCUGGCGGCAGGCCUAACACAUGCAAGUCGAACGGUAACAGGAAGAAGCUUGCUUCUUUGCUGACGAGUGGCGGACGGGUGAGUAAUGUCUGGGAAACUGCCUGAUGGAGGGGGAUAACUACUGGAAACGGUAGCUAAUACCGCAUAACGUCGCAAGACCAAAGAGGGGGAGCUUCGGGCCUCUUGCCAUCGGAUGUGCCCAG